UCCUACGGGAGGCAGCAGUGGGGAAUAUUGGACAAUGGGCGCAAGCCUGAUCCAGCCAUGCCGCGUGAGUGAUGAAGGCCUUAGGGUUGUAAAGCUCUUUCGUCCGGGACGAUAAUGACGGUACCGGAAGAAGAAGCCCCGGCUAACUUCGUGCCAGCAGCCGCGGUAAU
rnacentral:rRNA from 1 species